UACGUAGGGGGCUAGCGUUGUCCGGAAUCAUUGGGCGUAAAGAGCGUGUAGGCGGUCCGGUAAGUCCGUUGUGAAAGUCAAGGGCUCAACCCUUGAAUGCCGGCGGAUACUGUCGGGCUAGAGUCCGGAAGAGGCAAGUGGAAUUCCUGGUGUAGCGGUGAAAUGCGCAGAUAUCAGGAGGAACACCAAUUGCGAAGGCAGCUCGCUGGGACGUUACUGACGCUGAGACGCGAAAGCGUGGGGAGCAAACAGG
rnacentral:rRNA from 1 species